rnacentral:lncRNA from 1 species
ACUGGCCGUGGGCCGCGGCGCGCUGCUCCAGCAACAGGCGCUCUUCCUGGUGCCGGGCCAGCAUGAGGGCGGCGAUCUUGCGGUCGCGCUCGGGUACCCCGCGCAGGCCUCGCUCGGCGCGCACUUGGCGGACGAUGCGCUCCACAUGCUGGGCUGUCUGCGGCGAGUGGCUCAGGUCUCCGAGGCUGAAGCUGCGGGCCGUGAGCGGAACCAGAGCAAGGGCCGAAGGGCGGCCCAGUGGGUUAGGUGCAGACGACGCCGAGCCCGCGGGGCAGCUGUUCCUGGCGGAAGCUCGAGGUGGCCAGCGAAGCUCCCGAAGGCUCUCCCCGCUGUAGGACGACGACGAGGCCCCGGACUCGGAGCUCAGGGCACCGUCCCUCCGGCGGGAGAGCGAGUCCAGCGAGUGGCUCUUUCUACCUGUCCGAGAACCGGCGGGCGGAGGCCGGCUCCUGGCGGGGGGACUGGGAGAAGUCCUUCGAGCAACUCGCGAGGCGGGCGAGGCCGGGAGGCUGCUGCUGCUGCUGCAGCUGCUGCUGCUGCCCCCGCUCAGGGCCGAGGCUGAGGCUGAGGCUGAGGCCGAGGCCGGGGCUGCCGCCGGACCCUUCGGUGUGAACAGGCGCCGCUUCUCCUCGCGCAUGAUGCGCUCGCGCUCGGCGCGGCACUGCUGCAGUUUGGCCAGGCGCUCCGCCUCGUAGGCCUCGUACAGGCCGGUGGCCACGCGCAUGGAGCGGCCCGGGGCCUCGCGCACCAGGUCGGCCAGGGCCCGAGGCAGCAGCUCCACGGGCUUGACCGCGCAUCGGGCGCAGGCCUCCAGAGAGCGGGGGCUGGUCAGGACGUAGCGGCUGCCCUCUGCCUCGGGGCAGGCGAAAUUGAAGAGAUCGAGGUGCAGCAACGGAGACUGCUCCCGACGUCCACCUUCUGCCCCGCAGGGGACUUCAGCCUUACGGGGCGCCGCCGCGGAGGCGGAGGCCGAGGAGGCAGCCGGCUGCUGGGCUCCCUGGGCAUCGGGGGGCUCGGACGCUGUGGCCUCAUCCCCUUCAGAGCCACCGGGCUCCGCUCCCUCUUUCUCCUCUUCUGGCACCGGGUCCACCAUAGCUGAACCUCGUUCUUUGUUGGAGUCCCUGAGAUGACAGAGGGGCGGGGGGACAUAGAGGAUCUGUGAGCUGUUCCUCCCUCCUCAGCCAUAUUUACCCCUCCCAACUUAAUCCGAUUUCAGAUUAGGCUCAGGGGCCUGAUGGAACGUAAAUCCUAAAACUGAUGCCCCAAAAACUCAGGCUGGGCAGUUGCGGUGGGGGGACGCUGGGCCUUAGACAGCAGCCUCAGUCUCCCUCAGACCUAGAAUGCAGGGCCUUUCAGGAGACCACAUUGGCGUGAGGCCCACUAGCUGCAUCCCCUUCCUGCAAAGAUUGAAGUGCAAGGAAGGCUGCAGCCAGCGAGGGAGGCGCUGGAGGAUUCCCCGGAGGAUUAGCUAUUUGUUUGUAGCUUAGGCGGGCUGCUGGGAUGCAGCUUUGCAAGAACACAAAAGGGGAAGGGGCCUGUGCAUGCCAAAGUGCAUUGCUGCGAGGGCCCCAGUUGCCUAGGAAGAAGUUUAUGGUUGAUUUCUCUCUACCAAAAGGACCCGGAGCGCAGGGCCCCCGGGAGAUGGAAGGGCUGAAAAGAGUCUCCAAAGGCUUCUCCGAGUGGAGUGAUGGAUUCUUUCUCCAGCCUCUCCAGCGGGGCUUGCUGGGAGCUCUCUGCCUUCCUCUUCCUCCAGCCCCCACCCGGUGUUUGCUCAAGAUGCACAAGGCACCUGAAUCCUCCCAGAUGCACCCGAUCUCCAAGGCCGAAUGUGUAGUUAAAGGAAAGCUAAGAUGGGAGAACGAAUGAGAACAAAGAAUGAUGCCACAUUAUGAAAUUGCCAUUACCUUGUUUGCUCACCUAAAUAACUAAAAACAGUCGACAAAAACACACGGGUUCAGGCGGCAGAACACAAGUGACCAGCGGAUGCUGCUUCCGAGUCGCUAGUUUCAUACGAUGAGACUGAUCCUGAUCGAUGCCAUGUAAUGAGUGCUUUUUGAUGACACCUCAUCCUACCCUUCCAUCAUUUCAGAUGCACCAGAAGAGGGCGUCAGAUCUCAUUAUGGAUGGUUGUGAGCCACCACGUGGUUGCUGGAAUUUGAACUCAGGACCUUCGGAAAAGCAGUCAGUGCUCUUAACCACUGAGCCAUCUCUCCAGCCCCUGACUUCCUUUGAUGAUAAAAAUAUGACUGUAAGCAGAAAUAAAAUCUUUCCACCCC